CACACCGUAGUUUAAACAAAACUCUAACUUUGGGUGUUAAAAUUCAGACAGCGUCUGUUGUGUCU
rnacentral:tRNA from 1 species